rnacentral:rRNA from 1 species
GACGAACGCUGGCGGCGUGCCUAAUACAUGCAAGUCGAACGCAGUGGGGACGGGUGAGUAACACGUGGGUAACCUCCCAACAGAGGCGAUAACACUUGGAAACAGGUGCUAAACCGAUACUGUGCGAUGGACCUGAGUUGUAUUAGCUAGUUGGUGAGGUAACGGCUCACCAAGGCUACGAGGCAUAGCCGACCUGAGAGGGUGAUCGGCCACACUGGGACUGAGACACGGCCCAGACGCCUACGGGAGGCAGCAGUAGGGAAUCUUCGGCAAUGGACGAAAGUCUGACCGAGCAACGCCGCGUGAGUGAAGAAGGUUUUCGGAUCGUAAAACUCUGUUGUUAGAGAAGCGGUAUCUAACCAGAAAGCCACGGCUAACUACGUGCCAGCAGCCGCGGUAAUAC